rnacentral:rRNA from 1 species
AGAGUUUGAUCCUGGCUCAGAACGAACGCUGGCGGCAUGCCUCAUACAUGCAAGUCGAACGCAAGGCUUCGGCCUUGAGUGGCGCACGGGUGAGUAACGCGUGGGAACCUACCCUUCUGUGGGGGAUAACCGAGGGAAACUUCGGCUAAUACCGCAUACGCCGGGAAACCGGGAAAGAUUUAUCGCUGAAGGAUGGGCCCGCGUCGGAUUAGCUAGUUGGUGGGGUAAUGGCCUACCAAGGCUUUGAUCCGUAGCUGGUCUGAGAGGAUGAUCAGCCACACUGGGACUGAGACACGGCCCAGACUCCUACGGGAGGCAGCAGUAGGGAAUAUUGGACAAUGGGCGAAAGCCUGAUCCAGCAAUGCCGCGUGAGUGAGGAAGGCCUUAGGGUUGUAAAGCUCUUCGGCGGGGACG